ACUUUCAAUGGAUAAUAGCUGUCCACUAAUCUUAGGAGUUAGCCCCCCUUGGUGCAACUCCAAGUGAAAGCA
rnacentral:tRNA from 1 species